rnacentral:rRNA from 1 species
GUGGGGAAUAUUGGACAAUGGGGGGAACCCUGAUCCAGCCAUGCCGCGUGUGUGAAGAAGGCCUUUUGGUUGUAAAGCACUUUAAGCGAGGAGGAGGCUACCGAGAUUAAUACUCUUGGAUAGUGGACGUUACUCGCAGAAUAAGCACCGGCUAACUCUGUGCCAGCAGCCGCGGUAAUACAGAGGGUGCAAGCGUUAAUCGGAUUUACUGGGCGUAAAGCGCGCGUAGGUGGCCAAUUAAGUCAAAUGUGAAAUCCCCGAGCUUAACUUGGGAAUUGCAUUCGAUACUGGUUGGCUAGAGUAUGGGAGAGGAUGGUAGAAUUCCAGGUGUAGCGGUGAAAUGCGUAGAGAUCUGGAGGAAUACCGAUGGCGAAGGCAGCCAUCUGGCCUAAUACUGACACUGAGGUGCGAAAGCAUGGGGAGCAAACAGGAUUAGAUACCCUAGUAGUCC